rnacentral:rRNA from 1 species
CGAAGGAGUAGGAACCGACGUACGGCCGGACGACGGUACUUAAUAACAUCGACGAAGUCGUACGGGAUCCGAGGUAGCAAUACUUUGGUGAGAGUGGCGCACGGGUGCGUAACACGUAUGCAACCUACCUAUAACCGGGACACAACCUCGAGAAAUUGAGGCUAAUAUCCCAUAACACUGCGAGAUGGCAUCAUUUUGCAGUUAAAACUCCGGUGGUUAUAGAUGGGCAUGCGCGACAUUAGCUAGUUGGUGAGGUAAAAGCCCACCAAGGCGACGAUCCGUAGCUGGUCUGAGAGGAUGAUCAGCCACACUGGAACUGAGACACGGUCCAGACUCCUACGGGAGGCAGCAGUGGGGAAUAUUGGACAAUGGGCGCAAGCCUGAUCCAGCCAUACCGCGUGGGUGAAGAAGGCCUUCGGGUUGUAAAGCCCUUUUGUUGGGAAAGAAAACUUGCGGGCUAAUACCCAGCAAGUCUGACGGUACCCAAAGAAUAAGCACCGGCUAACUUCGUG